rnacentral:rRNA from 1 species
CUAAGCCAUUACUGACGCUGAUGCACGAAAGCGUGGGUAGCAAACAGGAUUAGAUACCCUGGUAGUCCACGCAGUAAACGUUGAUUACUCGUUGUUGGCAAUACAUCGUCAGCGACUGAGCAAAAGCAUUAAGUAAUCCACCUGGGGAGUACGUCAGCAAUGAUGAAACUCAAAGGAAUUGACGGGGGCCCGCACAAGCGGAGGAACAUGUGGUUUAAUUCGAUGAUACGCGAGGAACCUUACCUGGGCUUAAAUGUUAAGUGCUAUACCGGGAGACCGGUUUUUCCUUCGGGACACUUUACAAGGUGCUGCAUGGUUGUCGUCAGCUCGUGCCGUGAGGUGUCGGGUUAAGUCCCAUAACGAGCGCAACCCACUAUUGCCAGUUGCCAGCACAUCAUGGUGGGAACUCUGGUAAAACUGCCGGUGCACACCGCGAGGAAGGUGGGGAUGACGUCAAAUCAGCACGGCCAUUAUGUCCAGGGCUACACACGUGUUACAAUGGUCGGUACAACAGGAAGCUAUUCCGCGAGGAACCGCUAAUCCCGAAAGCCGAUCUUAGUUCGGAUCGGAGUCUGCAAUUCGACUCCGUGAAGCUGGAUUCGCUAGUAAUCGCAGCUCAGCCAUGCUGCGCUGAAUAUGUUCCCGGGCANUUGUACACACCGCCCGUCAAGCCAUGGAAGCC